rnacentral:rRNA from 1 species
AACGAACGCUGGCGGCAUGCCUAACACAUGCAAGUCGAACGAUCCCUUCGGGGAUAGUGGCGCACGGGUGCGUAACGCGUGGGAACCUGCCCUUAGGUUCGGAAUAACUCAGAGAAAUUUGAGCUAAUACCGGAUAAUGUCUUCGGACCAAAGAUUUAUCGCCUUUGGAUGGGCCCGCGUUGGAUUAGCUAGUUGGUGGGGUAAAGGCCUACCAAGGCGACGAUCCAUAGCUGGUCUGAGAGGAUGAUCAGCCACACUGGGACUGAGACACGGCCCAGACUCCUACGGGAGGCAGCAGUGGGGAAUAUUGGACAAUGGGCGAAAGCCUGAUCCAGCAAUGCCGCGUGAGUGAUGAAGGCCUUAGGGUUGUAAAGCUCUUUUACCCGGGAUGAUAAUGACAGUACCGGGAGAAUAAGCCCCGGCUUACUCCGUG